GAUAACCAAGGAUAACUCUAGGAUCAAGUGUUGGGUUGACAAGUCUUACUUCUCCUCCUCCAGGAGCCCAUGUAUCAUAAGCACCGCCAAUAAAACACCAGUUUACUGACCAAGCUAAUGCACCUACUCCUAAAACAAUCAAAUGAUAUCCAAGAAUAUUGGUCAUUUGAUUUUUAUCUCUCCA
rnacentral:antisense_RNA from 21 species